rnacentral:tRNA from 1 species
UCCCAGGUGGCUUAGUGGUAAAGAAUCUGCCUGCCAGUGCAGGAUUUGCAGGAGGCUUGGGUUCAAUCCCUGGGUUGGGAA